rnacentral:lncRNA from 1 species
CUGAAAUUCUCUACUUCAUACCAGCCUCCUAAAUUUCCCACUGAUUUAAGACAACUCUUUUCUGGGUGGAGUCACUGGUUAAAGUCACUGCUUAUUCUCUUUUGAUGAAAAGCAGGGUCAAAAGGAAUGAGUUAUCUUGUUGGAGCACAGUCCCAUGCUGAUGUUUUCCAGUGGAGCAAUAUUUCUCACGCUGAGACUGAUAAGCGCCUUCAGAAGUUGGGCCUACACUUCUAAAUCAGCAGUUCAUGAAAGGCCAUAAAAAUUAUCAUCACUUCACCAAUUCACCCGCUCUCAUCCUGGAAGAAGAGAAUGCAGAAACAGAUUCAGUUAUGUGAAUGUAACAGUCACAAACAAAGGGAAACCUGUGGCAAGAGAUGGAUUGAGAUCACAUGGUCUCAUGCUCUGCCAGACGAAGACCUUUAUUGAGAAAAUAGCAUCAAGAAAAGAUCGUGAAGUGCUUCUGCUGGUAUUCCCAAGACCUGACACAGAAUCCUGAAAUAUCACAACUGAAAGGAAUUUGGAGAUCACAUUCAUUUGAAUGCUAUGAAUGCUAUGAAUAAAUACUCAUAUUGUAUGAGCAAU